UAAGUAUUCCCUCCGCCCGGAAUUACUUGUCAUCAAAAUGGAUGUGUCUAGAACUAAAAUACAUCUAGAUACAUCCAUUUCAAUGACAAGUAUUUUCGGACGGAGGGAGUACAAG
rfam:Triticum aestivum genome assembly, contig: Triticum_aestivum_CS42_TGACv1_scaffold_331339_4BS